UACGGGGGGGUGCGAGCGUUUGUCCGGAAUCACUGGGCGUAAAGGGCGCGUAGGCGGUCAGCACAAGUCAGUUGUGAAAUCUCCGGGCUUAACUCGGAAAGGUCAACUGAUACUGUGCGACUAGAGUGCAGAAGGGGCAACUGGAAUUCUCGGUGUAGCGGUGAAAUGCGUAGAUAUCGAGAGGAACACCUGCGGCGAAGGCGGGUUGCUGGGCUGACACUGACGCUGAUGCGCGAAAGCCAGGGGAGCGAACGGG
rnacentral:rRNA from 1 species